rnacentral:misc_RNA from 1 species
UUUCCGUAGGUGAACCUGCGGAAGGAUCAUUGUCGAAACCUGCCCAGCAGAACGACCCGCGAACUUGUAUAAGCAACCGGGGGCGGGGGGCGUUCUCGCCCCGCGCCCCCGAACGGCGGGGAGACACUCGUGCCUUCUUGCCGAACAACGACCCCCGGCGCGGUCUGCGCCAAGGAACUUCAACUACAGAGUGCCUCCGGUCGCCUCGGAAACAGCGUGCCGGCCGAGGGCGAAGCUUGAGCAAAACCAUAACGACUCUCGGCAACGGAUAUCUCGGCUCUC